rnacentral:rRNA from 1 species
AAUAGAUACCCCGGUAGUCCACACCGUAAACGAUGAAUACUAGGUGUAGGGGUUGUCAUGACCUCUGUGCCGCCGCUAACGCAUUAAGUAUUCCGCCUGGGGAGUACGGUCGCAAGAUUAAAACUCAAAGGAAUUGACGGGGGCCCGCACAAGCAGCGGAGCAUGUGGUUUAAUUCGAAGCAACGCGAAGAACCUUACCUAGACUUGACAUCUCCUGAAUUACCCUUAAUCGGGGAAGCCCUUCGGGGCAGGAAGACAGGUGGUGCAUGGUUGUCGUCAGCUCGUGUCGUGAGAUGUUGGGUUAAGUCCCGCAACGAGCGCAACCCUUAUUGUUAGUUGCUACCAUUUAGUUGAGCACUCUAGCGAGACUGCCCGGGUUAACCGGGAGGAAGGUGGGGAUGACGUCAAAUCAUCAUGCCCCUUAUGUCUAGGGCUACACACGUGCUACAAUGGCUGGUACAGAGAGAUGCUAAACCGUGAGGUGGAGCCAAACUUUAAAACCAGUCUCAGUUCGGAUUGUAGGCUGAAACUCGCCUACA